CACCAGGCGCGAAAACUUUACAAUGCUGGCAACAGCGAUAAGGGGACCUCGAGAGCCAGGAUACAAUCUUGGCUGUCGUGAUGCCUAAAAAGCAUUACAUAGCAAGGGCCGGGCAAGACCGGUGCCAGCCGCCGCGGUAACACCGGCGGCUCGAGUGGUAACCGCUAUUAUUGGGUCUAAAGGGUCUGUAGCCGGCCGGAUAAGUCUCUUGGGAAAUCCAGCAGCUCAACUGUUGGGCUUCCAGGGGAUACUGUUCGGCUCGAGGCCGGGAGAGGUGAGAGGUACUUCAGGGGUAGGGGUGAAAUCUUGUAAUCCUUGAAGGACCACCAGUGGCGAAGGCGUCUCACCAGAACGGUCCUGACGGCAAGGGACGAAAGCUAGGGGCACGAACCGGAUUAGAUACCCGGGUAGUCCUAGCCGCAAACGAUACUCGCUAGGUGUCAGCCACGGUGCGACCGUGGUUGGUGCCGUAGGGAAGCCGUGAAGCGAGCCACCUGGGAAGUACGGCCGCAAGGCUGAAACUUAAAGGAAUUGGCGGGGGAGCAC
rnacentral:rRNA from 1 species